rnacentral:rRNA from 1 species
GACGAACGCUGGCGGCGUGCUUAACACAUGCAAGUCGAGCGGUAAGGCCCUUUCGGGGGUACACGAGCGGCGAACGGGUGAGUAACACGUGGGUGACCUGCCCUCAGCUCUGGGAUAAGCCUGGGAAACUGGGUCUAAUACUGGAUAUGACUCCACGGUGCAUGUCGUGGGGUGGAAAGCCUUGUGCGGCUGAGGAUGGGCCCGCGGCCUAUCAGCUUGUUGGUGGGGGAUGGCCUACCAAGGCGACGACGGGUAGCCGGCCUGAGAGGGCGACCGGCCACACUGGGACUGAGACACGGCCCAGACUCCUACGGGAGGCAGCAGUGGGGAAUCUUGCGCAAUGGGCGAAAGCCUGACGCAGCGACGCCGCGUGAGGGAUGACGGCCUGGUGUAA